GGUAGUGUUUGGUUCGGAAACAAGGGGGGGAAUAAGUCCUUGUUCACCCCUUUGUUCCCAAACGGUAUGUUUGGUUCCUGGGAACAGUAGUUCCCGAGUUUCUGGAACAAGCUGGUAUAAGGCUGGAACUGCUGUUCCACCCGUUUCCUGGAACUAGUUUGUUACUUGAUGAGAACAAGAUUAAUUAAAAUCUAAAUUUAAUUUUAAUAGCAGUAAAUUAUUAAUUAAUCUAAUUAAUAUAUUUAAAUUAUUAUUUAUUGCUUUAAUAAUUAAAUAAUUAAUUAAUUUAUUAUUUAUAAUUAAUUAUUAAUACUUAUUAUUAUUUAUAAUUAUUUAUUAAUAAUUAAUUUUAUUAUUUAUUUUUAAAUAAUAUUUUGAUGUUAAUUAAUUAUAUAAUAUAAUUUUAAUUUCAAAUUAUAACUCUUAUUUCUUUUGUUCCAAUUUAACCAUCCAAACACUAUUUACCUUAUUCCUAGGAACAACCCAAUUUUCAUCCAAACGUAAAAUUGGUCUAGUUCUUGCUUAUACUUGAACUUGUACCUAUCCCUGGAACUAGCAAUUCUUACUUAUACUCGAACCAAACGUAGCCUAAGUGUUUGAUGGCAUUCAUAAGCUAGCUGUUGAGCUCUUGGGUUGCGUCUCAACUGUAACGAUAGCUCGACAUCAUCCGGUCUUCUUUUGCCGUGUAUCUCCUCCGCAUUUGUCUUAUUUUCUGUAGUUGAAUUCUUUUCUUUAAUGAAUGAAGUGGCUAGCUUGCUAUCUUUAAUUCUUCAAAAAAAAAUAAAAACCAUCUCUGAUAUGGUUCUGUA
rnacentral:lncRNA from 1 species